AGCUUUGCGCAGUGGCAGUAUCGUAGCCAAUGAGGUUUAUCCGAGGCGCGAUUAUUGCUAAUUGAAAACUUUUGCUAGUGUGGGCAUUUUAAUCAAUAUUAUUUCUGCCUAUCUGUGAACAUUGAAGGUCUUUCUA